GUAUUUUCCAAAAUUCUAAAUUGCAUAUUUUUUCAGCAGUUCCAGAAGCCAAUUCAUCAGGUCCUGGAGAUGAGCUUGAGUGACCUAGGAGUGGAGUUCACCAGGGAGAGAGGCUCCAGGUCCUGCACAUGGAAGGAAGAAGGAAGAAUCUACCAGUGGGUUUGGAAGGAGACCAAGGCAGAAGCUGGGAAUGCCCUGGAUUGGGGAAGGUCAUAAGAAGCACAAAGUUCCUUCCUCUCUCCUCCAUUUUCUAACCUUCCUUUCCUUUUCUCCUUCACCCAGAAACCAUCUCUUAGGAUACCACUUACAAUUAAGAAGUUGCAAAAGCCGGGUACAGUGGCAUGGCACACACCCGUAAUCCCAGUGGCUCAGGAGGCUGAGGCAAGAAGAUAGUGAGUUCAAAGCCAGCCUCAGCAAAAGUGAGGAGCUAAGCAACUCAGUGAGACCCUGUCUCCAAAUAAAAUUCAAAAUAGUGCUGGGGAUGUGGCUCAGUGUUCUAAUGCCCCUGAGUUCAAUCCCCGUAACAACAACAACAAAAAAGGUUGAGACCUGAUUUAUUUCCUCUCCUUUUCACAUUCCCUUAAGAGCUUCCCAUACAUUCUCACCUACUACCCUGGUGACAAAGGAUCAGAUAAGAUCCUGAGGAUAUUUCUAACUACAGAAGUAGUAUACGCCCAUUUGGAACUCUCCACUGGUUUACAGGAGCUCUCAGGCACUCAUUGCAAGCUCAUAUAUCAAGAAACAUUUCCGAGUAUAAUACAACUCUUCCAGGAACCCUGGUUUUCUCCUGCAUGAAUGUCCAUUAAGAAACCCUCCUCCAUACUUCUUUCCAUAACUUGCUAUACAGGCUUGCCAGCUACCUGCCUGGCCUUCUCUCCACAUGCCCUGUGUGUUUAAAGAGCUAAAACAAGGGUACUUGUAUUCCUGGUACUUCUCAGAUGGCAAAUGCUUGUGGAGCAGGUAAAAGAUAUCAGGUUUUGUCCCAUUUCUGAUACUAACUCGCUGUGUGAUUGUGAGAAAGUGAGGUUACUUCUCAGAGUCCCAGUUCCUUCAUCUUUAAAACGAGGAUGGUAGGAACAAAUAAAGGAAGAAUUUGACUGUUUAUAAAUUCCCACUUUGCUUUCACAAACUAAGGUGCUAGCUUAAUUAAAACAACCCACCUGACAUUCUCUUAAGAUGACAAUACUCUGGCUAAGAGUUCUAUUUCCCUGCACACUGAGGGAAUAGAGAGGUGGUCUCUGCCUCCCAACCUGGAGUCAGGAUGAGCAGUGAGGAAGCAGGAGGUGAGGGAACUAGAUGCAGAUCCAGAAAUGGGGAACCUUGAUUAAGAGUAUGGAAGACUAUUGCUAAGAAUUGGCCUAUGGUAUUGGCAAACUGGUCAGUGGGACACCUCCAAAAAUGAUAACUAUUUGUGGGAAAAUGUAUGAAGAACCCCUAACCUGGAGGGGUUCAUUGAUUACCUUUGGCAAUUGCAGAGCAGUUUUCUAGACAUGUAACUGAAGGAUUCAUGCAAUACCCUUACAAGUUCCUGGGCACUCUUCCAACUCCCCUCCCACUACCUCACCUAUUCCCUUAUCCAGGUGAGGCAGCAGACUGGAGCCUGCAUAUAUCCAAGAACAAGUUGCUCCUGAUCUUGGAGAGGACAUGUUCCGAAUCAGGGGCUAUAGACUUUGGCCUUGUAGUUGCAGCCCCAGGCUAUGCACAAGGGAGGUCCUGUUCCUCCCUGCGGGGAGACCAGGUCAUUUCUUGUUUUAUAACUUCUCUUGUAUUCCUGAAAUGACUACCACCAGGUAAUAGCCUAAGAGAGACAGGUUGCCCUAAGCAUGCCUUCUAACAGAUAUUUGGUAGGCCCAUUCCUUCAGUUUCUACCUGUAAAAAUGCUUUGAUUAUUGCAUAUUUGACUUUCUGUGUGUGCCCUUAGGCUGAUCUCUCAACAGCCCCCUCUGAAUGCUAACGGCAGAAGGACCAUUAACCCAGACUUCUCUUCUAGUGCCUCUUGGGACAUUCAGAUCUUUCAAAGAACUUCCAGGCUCUGCCCUCCUCUUUGAACCAGUUCCAAUUUCCCUGAAAAUCAGAUAAAGUUUCUUGAAAAAAAAGAUAAACAAUUUUGCUUUAACCCCAAAUAAUCAUCAAGGUUCUAAAGCACCCAGAUACGUUAAAAUCAAAACAAAUAAAUAAAAAGCCCUCCCUAUUCGAAGCUCCCAGUGGGGCAGGAUGAGCAACUGCCUAGGAGGCAUGAAAGCUGGGCUAUUGCCUUAAAACUGGCCCUGCCACUAACCAGCCCCGUGACCCUGAACUUAGUUCCCUGGGCCUCUCUGGCUUCCUUCCAAAGUGUCUGGGUGUUGGCAGAACUGGUGGGAUUGAGGAGAUGGAAAUCGCUAAGAGUUUUGGCUGAAGCUCAUGAGUAAUCCUUUUUCUGAAGCAAGGCUCUGCCUGUCUAUUAGAAAGCUGACCUAGGUCUCAGUGUCUAAUUGUCAACCCUCGUGCAUCACAGAAAUCUUUUUUAGAACACAAAUCCAGUCGUUUGCCUCUGAUGCCCACUCCCAUCCCCACCUAAAACAUGGUGAUAACUUUUCCUUGGUCUUAAUAUAACAACCACUGUUCUUCCCUGUGCCUACUAGGUCUUGCAGAGUCAGCCUCACCUAAAAUCUUCUCUCCCUCCAUGUCCAUAUUCCUGCUAGAGCCUCCUCUUUUUAAUUUUCUGAAUUCAUCAGACUUUCUUCCCACUGAAAUUUUUUAAUACAUCUCAUUCUCCUGUCAUGGAAUAUUCCUGACUCUGCUCACCCUCUCCCCAUUCUGCCUGGUUAAUCCUUUCUUUCCUUAGACACACUUUCCCAGAAAUCCCAGAGAACAUAAGUGGCUUCCAUUUUGCUGCAUAAACCCCUGUACUUUUCUUUGUGGCCCAAAUCACUGGCGUCCUAAAUUAAUUAUAUUUCUCUGUUUAAAAAAAAAAAAAAAUUAUCUGGUUGUUCC
rnacentral:lncRNA from 1 species